CCCUUAGAUGUUCUGGGCCGCACGCGCGUUACACUGAUGCAUUCAACGAGCUUAUAACCUUGGCCGAGAGGCCUGGGCAAUCUUGUUAACGUGCAUCGUGAUAGGGAUAGAUUAUUGAAAUUAUUAAUCUUGAACGAGGAAUUCCUAGUAAACGCAGAUCAUCAAUCUGCAUUGAUUACGUCCCUGCCCUUUGUACACACCGCCCGUCGCACCUACCGAUUGGGUGUGCUGGUGAAAUGUUCGGAUCGGCCGUUUGUCGCGGUUUCCGCGUCAUGUGGCUGAGAAGUUCAUUAAACCCUCCCACCUAGAGGAAGGAGAAGUCGUAACA
rnacentral:rRNA from 1 species